rnacentral:misc_RNA from 1 species
GUUGUUAAAAUUUAUCCAAUUUUAAAGAAAUAAACACUAAAAAAAUAAAAACCAUUUACUUAAAGUUAUAGAAUUGACUCACAUGCUUGAAUACAUAAAGAAAAUAAUAUUUACCCAAUUAGAUUUACCGUGUAAUUGAUUUUCAAUUUUUAGAUUAGAAGAUCUUAUAGCACUCAAGAAUAACUCAAAAUGAUGGGAAUAUGUCAAAAAUCAAUGAAGAUAUGAUUUUGGUCAAUUGAGCACCUAAAAUGAAUCUAAAUCUAAAAUCAUCUAAGAUAAUUUUGUGAAAGGAUAGGCAAUUGUGGCUCUAAUGACACAAAAGAGUCUUCUAAUUAAUUUAGAAUCUCCCUAGACUGCUCAAG